rnacentral:rRNA from 1 species
AGCUAUGUAUGUUAAGGUAAAAAGGCAGUUAGAUAACUAACAUUAUUAGUUUACUCAUUCCUUAUAUAAAGGUAAAAUUUAGAUAUAAGUGAAUAAUUUAAUGUAAGUUAAUAGAGAUUGAAUCUGCGACAGCCUUGAGGGAAACUGGGAUUAGAUACCCCAUUAUUCUUGGUCAUAAAUGAAUAAUAGUUUACCGGAGUACUAUGAAUCUCUAAUAAAAUUUAAAACUCAAAGGGCUUGGCGGUGUUUUAGACCUCUCAGGGGAACCUGUCUCAUAAUCGACAAUCCACGUUAAACCUAACCUCUAUUUGCAAUUCAGUUUGUAUACCGUCGUCGUCAGGUAACUUUUAAAAAGUAAGAAGUUGGCAGUAAAAUUAGAUAAAUUUAGACGUCAGAUCAAGGUGCAGCCUAUACAGAGGUGAGGAUGGGUUACAAUUAAAAUUUAUAAUUACGAAUAGGAUAAUGAAAUACUUCUCCUAAUGAAGGAGGACUUGAAAGUAAAAUAGAUU